rnacentral:piRNA from 1 species
UCUCAAUGAAGCACAACUUUG